UUUUAUUACGUUUUUAUAUUUACAGUGUGUGUCUUGAUAGUUCUUCAAUAAUAAUUUUAUUUCAAUAAGAAACAAACACUCGAUCAAAUAUAAGAAACAUUAUCAUCAAAAUAUUCUUGAUAUUAGAAAAUCGAUUGCCAUCUUCUCCUGGACCUCCAAUGAUAAAUUAUGUAUGUGUGGGACAAGAACAGACCCCGGAGAAAUAUCAAACUCGAAUGCCAUCUCUGGCAUAUAUAAUUGUUCAAGGAAUGCCAUUGGAACUUCAGAUAAUUGUGUACAGACUGAGUGCUACUUGCCCGGUUAUGACUUAACAAAGAUUGACAAUGCCAAUGGUGUGAGUGUCUGGACAUCUACAAAAUUGGAGUGUAGUUGCUUCUGUACCAAAAUCAGGAGAAAUACUUCAUUAAAUUUAACACACAAAAAACAGCCAUUUCUAAGAGUGAAGGCAGUGAACAAUGAACAUUAUAAGUUUCCUUCAUAUUGUUAUUUAUCUGUUGAAUCAUUCAAAAAACUUUACUAGUCUAGCUUAAUCAGGACUUAAGUUUGAUUCUGACAAUUCAGAUAUAAACUAUUCCCAACACUUUUUCUCCAUUUUAACCAUUUCUUUUAUCCUUUCCCUUCCUUUCUUUUCCCUUAAUCUCUUCAUUAUCUGUUUUAACAAUGAUUUAUCACCAAGUGCUAAACGGUAUGAAUGGUAUCCGAAUGGUAAUUGUUGGUGCUCAGAUUCUUUGAAUCAAAUAAUUCGUAGCUUCUCAGGGAUUUUCAACUGUCCUUCCACAGAUGUUAUUGUUGAUGGUUUUGAUCAAGAUGAUUGUUCUGGAGUUAAAUACUGUUCUGCUGAAAAUAGAGUAGACG